ACGGGUGAGUAACGCGUGGGAAUCUACCUUGUAGUGGGGAAUAGCCUUUCGAAAGAGAGGGUAAUACCGCAUGUUUCCAAAUUUAUUUGGAAAAAGACUUCGGUCGCUAUAAGAGGAGCCCGCGUCCUAUCAGGUAGUUGGUGGGGUAAUAGCCUACCAAGCCAAUGACGGGUAGCCGGUGUGAGAGCACGACCGGCCACAAGGUCACUGAAACACGGGGCCUACACCUACGGGUGGCAGCAACCGGGAAUAUUGCGCAAUGGGCGAAAGCCUGACGCAGCGACACCGCGUGUGGGAAGAAGCUUUUCGGAGUGUAAACCACUGUGGCAAGGGAAGAAUUUUUGACGGUACCUUGCUAGAAAGCACCUGCUAACUACGUGCCAGAAGCCUCGGUAAUACGUAGGGUGCAAGCGUUAUCCGGAUUUAUUGGGCGUAAAGAGUUCCGCAGGCGUCUUUACAAGUUUCUUGUUUAAGCCUGAGGCUCAACUUCAGAAAAGCAAGAAAAACUGUAAAGAUUGAGUUUGUUUGGGGAAGCUGGAAUUCUCGGUGGAGGGGUGAAAUCCGUAGAUAUCGAGAGGAACACCAAUCGCGAAGGCAAGCUUCUAAAACAAUACUGACGCUAAGGGACGAAAGCUUGGGUAGCAAAAGGGAUUAGAGACCCCUGUAGUCCAAGCCGUAAACUUUCCUCGCUAGUUGCCUGGUUAAUAAUGCAU
rnacentral:rRNA from 1 species